UAGGGAAUCUUCGGCAAUGGACGAAAGUCUGACCGAGCAACGCCGCGUGAGUGAAGAAGGUUUUCGGAUCGUAAAACUCUGUUGUUAGAGAAGAACAAGGACGUUAGUAACUGAACGUCCCCUGACGGUAUCUAACCAGAAAGCAACGGCUAACUACGUGCCAGCAGCCGCGGUAAUACGUAGGUGGCAAGCGUUGUCCGGAUUUAUUGGGCGUAAAGCGAGCGCAGGCGGUUUCUUAAGUCUGAUGUGAAAGCCCCCGGCUCAACCGGGGAGGGUCAUUGGAAACUGGGAGACUUGAGUGCAGAAGAGGAGAGUGGAAUUCCAUGUGUAGCGGUGAAAUGCGUAGAUAUAUGGAGGAACACCAGUGGCGAAGGCGGCUCUCUGGUCUGUAACAGACGCUGAGGCUCGAAAGCGUGGGGAGCAAACAGG
rnacentral:rRNA from 1 species